rnacentral:rRNA from 1 species
GACGAACGCUGGCGGCGUGCUUAACACAUGCAAGUCGAACGGAAAGGCCCUGCUUUUGUGGGGUGCUCGAGUGGCGAACGGGUGAGUAACACGUGAGUAACCUGCCCUUGACUUUGGGAUAACUUCAGGAAACUGGGGCUAAUACCGGAUAGGAGCUCCUGCUGCAUGGUGGGGGUUGGAAGUUUCGGCGGUUGGGGAUGGACUCGCGGCUUAUCAGCUUGUUGGUGGGGGAGUGGCUUACCAAGGCUUUGACGGGUAGCCGGCCUGAGAGGGUGACCGGCCACAUUGGGACUGAGAUACGGCCCAGACUCCUACGGGAGGCAGCAGUGGGGAAUAUUGCACAAUGGGCGGAAGCCUGAUGCAGCAACGCCGCGUGCGGGAUGACGGCCUUCGGGUUGUAAACCGCUUUCGCCUGUGACGAAGCGUGAGUGACGGUAAUGGGUAAAGAAGCACCGGCUAACUACGUA